rnacentral:rRNA from 1 species
AGUGAACGCUGGCGGUAGGCCUAACACAUGCAAGUCGAACGGCAGCACAGUAAUAGCUUGCUCUUACGGGUGGCGAGUGGCGGACGGGUGAUGAAUACAUCGGAGUCUACUUUUUCGUGGGGGCUAACGUAGGGAAACUUACGCCAAUACCGCAUACGACCUACGGGUGAAAGCAGGGGAUCUUCCGCCCUUGCGCGAUUGAAUGAGCCGAUGUCGGAUUAGCUAGUUGGUGGGGUAAAGGCCCACCAAGGCGACGAUCCGUAGCUGGUCUGAGAGGAUGAUCAGCCACACUGGAACUGAGACACGGUCCAGACUCCUACGGGAGGCAGCAGUGGGGAAUAUUGGACAAUGGGCGAAAGCCUGAUCCAGCCAUGCCGCGUGGGUGAAGAAGGCCUUCGGGUUGUAAAGCCCUUUUGUUGGGAAAGAAAAGCAGCAGGUUAAUACCCCGCUGUUUUGACGGUACCCAAAGAAUAAGCACCGGCUAACUUCGUG